rnacentral:rRNA from 1 species
GAGGAGGAGCCCGGAGAUGGGCACUGAGACAAGGGCCCAGGCCCUAUGGGGCGCAGCAGGCGCGAAACCUCUGCAAUAGGCGAAAGCCUGACAGGGUUACUCUGAGUGAUUUCCGUUAAGGAGAUCUUUUGGCACCUCUAAAAAUGGUGCAGAAUAAGGGGUGGGCAAGUCUGGUGUCAGCCGCCGCGGUAAUACCAGCACCCCGAGUGGUCGGGACGUUUAUUGGGCCUAAAGCAUCCGUAGCCGGUUCUACAAGUCUUCCGUUAAAUCCACCUGCUUAACAGAUGGGCUGCGGAAGAUACUAUGGAGCUAGGAGGCGGGAGAGGCAAGCGGUACUCGAUGGGUAGGGGUAAAAUCCGUUGAUCCAUUGAAGACCACCAGUGGCGAAGGCGGCUUGCCAGAACGCGCUCGACGGUGAGGGAUGAAAGCUGGGGGAGCAAACCGGAUUAGAUACCCGGGUAGUCCCAGCUGUAAACGAUGCAGACUCGGUGAUGAAUUGGCUUCAUGCCAAUUCAGUGCCGCAGGGAAGCCGUUAAGUUUGCCGCCUGGGGAGUACGGUCGCAAGACUGAAACUUAA